GAUGAACGCUGGCGGCGUGCUUAACACAUGCAAGUCGAACGGUGAAGGCGGAGCUUGCUCUGCUGGAUCAGUGGCGAACGGGUGAGUAACACGUGAGCAAUCUGCCCCUGACUCUGGGAUAAGCGCUGGAAACGGCGUCUAAUACUGGAUACGAGCUGCGAAGGCAUCUUCAGCAGCUGGAAAGAAUUUCGGUCAGGGAUGAGCUCGCGGCCUAUCAGCUUGUUGGUGAGGUAAUGGCUCACCAAGGCGUCGACGGGUAGCCGGCCUGAGAGGGUGACCGGCCACACUGGGAAUGAGACACGGCCCAGACUCCUACGGGAGGCAGCGGUGGGGAAUAUUGCACAAGGGGCGAAAGCCUGAUGCAGCAACGCCGCGUGAGGGAGGACGGCCUUCGGGUUGUAAACCUCUUUUAGCAGGGAAGAAGCGAAAGUGACGGUACCUGCAGAAAAAGCGCCGGCUAACUACGUG
rnacentral:rRNA from 1 species